CAGUCGCCGCGGGAAAACGGAGGGUGCAAGCGUUAAUCGGAAUUACUGGGCGUAAAGCGUGCGCAGGCGGUUAUAUAAGACAGAUGUGAAAUCCCCGGGCUCAACCUGGGAACUGCAUUUGUGACUGUAUAGCUAGAGUACGGCAGAGGGGGAUGGAAUUCCGCGUGUAGCAGUGAAAUGCGUAGAUAUGCGGAGGAACACCGAUGGCGAAGGCAAUCCCCUGGGCCUGUACUGACGCUCAUGCACGAAAGCGUGGGGAGCAAACAGGAUUAGAUACCCGCGUAGUCCCUGUCUCUUAUAC
rnacentral:rRNA from 1 species